rnacentral:rRNA from 1 species
GAUGAACGCUGGCGGCGUGCUUAACACAUGCAAGUCGAACGGAAAGGCUCCUGCUUGCAGGGGUACUCGAGUGGCGAACGGGUGAGUAACACGUGGGUGAUCUGCCCUGCACUUCGGGAUAAGCCUGGGAAACUGGGUCUAAUACCGGAUAGGACGAUGGUUUGGAUGCCAUGGUGGGAAGUUUUUCGGUGUGGGAUGAGCUCGCGGCCUAUCAGCUUGUUGGUGGGGUAAUGGCCUACCAAGGCGUCGACGGGUAGCCGGCCUGAGAGGGUGUACGGCCACAUUGGGACUGAGAUACGGCCCAGACUCCUACGGGAGGCAGCAGUGGGGAAUAUUGCACAAUGGGCGCAAGCCUGAUGCAGCGACGCCGCGUGGGGGAUGACGGCCUUCGGGUUGUAAACUCCUUUCGCUAGGGACGAAGCGCAAGUGACGGUACCUGGAGAAGAAGCACCGGCUAACUACGUG